UACGUAGGGUGCGAGCGUUAAUCGGAAUUACUGGGCGUAAAGCGUGCGCAGGCGGUUAUGUAAGACCGAUGUGAAAUCCCCGGGCUUAACCUGGGAACUGCAUUGGUGACUGCAUCGCUCGAGUAUGGCAGAGGGGGGUAGAAUUCCACGUGUAGCAGUGAAAUGCGUAGAGAUGUGGAGGAAUACCGAUGGCGAAGGCAGCCCCCUGGGUCAAUACUGACGCUCAUGCACGAAAGCGUGGGGAGCAAACGGG
rnacentral:rRNA from 1 species